rnacentral:rRNA from 1 species
UACGGGAGGCAGCAGUGGGGAAUAUUGCACAAUGGGCGAAAGCCUGAUGCAGCUAUGCUGCGUGUAUGAAGAAGGCCUUAGGGUUGUAAAGUACUUUCAUCGGGGAGGAAAAACAAAACUAAUAAUUUUAUUUCUUGACGUUACCCGAAAAAGAAGCACCGGCUAACUCCGUGCCAGCAGCCGCGGUAAUACGGAGGGUGCUAGCGUUAAUCAGAAUUACUGGGCGUAAAGAGCACGUAGGUGGUUUUUUUAAAGUCAGAUGUGAAAUCCCUGGGCUUAACCUAGGAACUGCAUUUUGAAACUGAAAUACUAGAGUAUCGUAGAGGGAGGUAGAAUUCUAGGUGUAGCGGUGAAAUGCGUAGAUAUCUGGAGGAAUACCUGUGGCGAAAGCGGCCUCCUAAACGAAUACUGACACUGAGGUGCGAAAGCGUGGGGAGCAAACAGGGAUUAGAUACC